GUCAUGAUCAAACAAAGGAACAUUUCUAUUCAAUAAUGAAGAAAGAUGGCAAAGUAGAUGGACAAAGGCCGUUUAAAUUGGCUCAUCAGACUUUGUGCAUAAGAGCAAUUAACUUUAACAGAAGAUCAGUUGUGGGAUAUGUAGAGCUAGCCAUUCAUCCACUGGUUCCAAACCUUAGAAGAGUCAAGAUUAACAGUAAACAAUGUA